rnacentral:rRNA from 1 species
GAGUUUGAUCAUGGCUCAGAUUGAACGCUGGCGGCAGGCCUAACACAUGCAAGUCGAACGGUAACAGGAAGAAGCUUGCUUCUUUGCUGACGAGUGGCGGACGGGGGAGUAAUGUCUGGGAAACUGCCUGAUGGAGGGGGAUAACUACUGGAAACGGUAGCUAAUACCGCAUAACGUCGCAAGACCAAAGAGGGGGACCUUCGGGCCUCUUGCCAUCGGAUGUGCCCAGAUGGGAUUAGCUAGUAGGUGGGGUAACGGCUCACCUAGGCGACGAUCCCUAGCUGGUCUGAGAGGAUGACCAGCCACACUGGAACUGAGACACGGUCCAGACUCCUACGGGAGGCAGCAGUGGGGAAUAUUGCACAAUGGGCGCAAGCCUGAUGCAGCCAUGCCGCGUGUAUGAAGAAGGCCUUCGGGUUGUAAAGUACUUUCAGCGGGGAGGAAGGGAGUAAAGUUAAUACCUUUGCUCAUUGACGUUACCCGCAGAAGAAGCACCGGCUAACUCCGUGCCAGCAGCCGCGGUAAUACGGAGGGUGCAAGCGUUAAUCGGAAUUACUGGGCGUAAAGCGCACGCAGGCGGUUUGUUAAGUCAGAUGUGAAAUCCCCGGGCUCAACCUGGGAACUGCAUCUGAUACUGGCAAGCUUGAGUCUCGUAGAGGGGGGUAGAAUUCCAGGUGUAGCGGUGAAAUGCGUAGAGAUCUGGAGGAAUACCGGUGGCGAAGGCGGCCCCCUGGACGAAGACUGACGCUCAGGUGCGAAAGCGUGGGGAGCAAACAGGAUUAGAUACCCUGGUAGUCCACGCCGUAAACGAUGUCGACUUGGAGGUUGUGCCCUUGAGGCGUGGCUUCCGGAGCUAACGCGUUAAGUCGACCGCCUGGGGAGUACGGCCGCAAGGUUAAAACUCAAAUGAAUUGACGGGGGCCCGCACAAGCGGUGGAGCAUGUGGUUUAAUUCGAUGCAACGCGAAGAACCUUACCUGGUCUUGACAUCCACAGAACCUUGUAGAGAUACGAGGGUGCCUUCGGGAACUGUGAGACAGGUGCUGCAUGGCUGUCGUCAGCUCGUGUUGUGAAAUGUUGGGUUAAGUCCCGCAACGAGCGCAACCCUUAUCCUUUGUUGCCAGCGGUCCGGCCGGGAACUCAAAGGAGACUGCCAGUGAUAAACUGGAGGAAGGUGGGGAUGACGUCAAGUCAUCAUGGCCCUUACGACCAGGGCUACACACGUGCUACAAUGGCGCAUACAAAGAGAAGCGACCUCGCGAGAGCAAGCGGACCUCAUAAAGUGCGUCGUAGUCCGGAUUGGAGUCUGCAACUCGACUCCAUGAAGUCGGAAUCGCUAGUAAUCGUGGAUCAGAAUGCCACGGUGAAUACGUUCCCGGGCCUUGUACACACCGCCCGUCACACCAUGGGAGUGGGUUGCAAAAGAAGUAGGUAGCUUAACCUUCGGGAGGGCGCUUACCACUUUGUGAUUCAUGACUGGGGUGAAGUCGUAACAAGGUAACCGUAGGGGAACCUGCGGUUGGAUCACC